rnacentral:rRNA from 1 species
UACGUAGGGGGCAAGCGUUGUCCGGAUUUAUUGGGCGUAAAGAGCGUGUAGGCGGUUUGGUAGGUCCGUUGUGAAAACUCGAGGCUCAACCUCGAGACGCCGAUGGAAACCAUCAGACUAGAGUCCGGAAGAGGAGAGUGGAAUUCCUGGUGUAGCGGUGAAAUGCGCAGAUAUCAGGAAGAACACCGAUGGCGAAGGCAGGUCUCUGGGCCACUACUGACGCUGAGAAGCGAAAGCAUGGGGAGCGAACAGG